CCGAGCGCGGGUUCCCGCCCCCUUCCCGGGGGGUUGGGGCCCAGACCUCCUACCCUUGUCGAUUGUACCGUGUUGCUUCGGCGGGCCCGCCAUGGUUGGCCGCCGGGGGGCUCGCGCGAGCGCUGCCCCCGGGCCCGUGUCCGUCGGAGAUCUCCCUCGAAACGCUACUGUGGUCAGGAAUGCUGUCUGAGUGGUGAGAAAUUGAUCAGUCAA
rnacentral:misc_RNA from 1 species